rnacentral:rRNA from 1 species
GUUAACGCUGGCGGUAUGUCUAAUACAUGCAAGUCGAGCGCCCCUCACUCUGUUCUCAAUUUUACGCCUUAAUGGAGUUAAUUGAUGGUGGAGUGAGGGGAGCGGCGAACGGCUGAGUAACACGUUGGUAGCUACCUCACACUCAGGGAUAACAUCUAGAAAUAGGUGCUAAUACCGGAUGGUCUCGUAAGAGUAAAGCUUUUGCGGUGUGAGAGGCGCCUGCGGCCUAUCAGCUUGUUGGUGAGGUAAUAGCUCACCAAGGCUAUGACGGGUAGCUGGUCUGAGAGGAUGACCAGUCAGAAUGGGACUGAGACACGGCCCAUACUCCUACGGGAGGCAGCAGUAAAGAAUCUUCCACAAUGGGCGAAAGCCUGAUGGAGCAAUACCGCGUGAAGGAUGACGGUCGAAAGAUUGUAAACUUCUUUUCUGGGGGAAGAAUUAUGACGGUACCCUAGGAAUAAGCACCGGCUAACUCCGU